CAAUAGCGUAUAUUAAAGUUGUUGCGGUUAAAAAGCUCGUAGUUGGAGUUCUGCCAGGUGCCGCCUGUCCGCCCCAGUGGUGAGUACGUGGCGCGCAUUUGGCCCUUUCAAGGGGAGCGUAUCUGCACUUUAUUGUGUGGUGCGGGAUCCUUGACUUUUACUUUGAGGAAAUAGGAGUGUUCCAAGCAGGCUCUCGUCGUGCACAGCUCAGCAUGGAAUAAUAGCAUUGGACCUCGAUUCUAAGCUGUUGGUUGCCAGAAGCGAGGUAAUGAUGAAGAGGGAUAGUUGGGGGCAUUCGUAUUUAACAGUCAGAGGUGAAAUUCUUGGAUUUGUUAAAGACGGACUACUGCGAAAGCAUCUGCCAUGGAUGUUUUCAUUGA
rnacentral:rRNA from 1 species